GCAUUGUUUACCACUGGCUGACAGCCUUACAGAUAAAGUGGACUGGAAUUCCAUUCCUGUGGAGUAAUAGGGAAUUAAAGUGAAUAAGCAGAAUUGCAUGAAACAGUAUUGGAUGAACACUACACUGGUCACCGUCAAAGAGAGAAUUUGUGAAUUAGAAGAUGAUUCUGAUGAAUUCAUUCAGAACACAGCUCAAAGAGAUGGAGAUAAAAGUCCAGUGGGAAGCAUAGAAGGAAAAGAAAGAAGACUUGAGGAAGAUUUGGCAUUUCUGACACUUGGAAAAUCAAGUCCACAAAUAAACAGCUGCUGUCAAAGAAGCACUCCUCUCCGUCACCCCGAGAAAUAGUGGGAUUGCCUUCUGUUCCCACCACUGUGUUGGCCACUCACCACCAACCUCCCAGCCCCAGGGUCAAGGCCUGCUGUCAUGGUCCACCUUGCCUCAGCCGAGGUUUCUGCAUGGAGGCAGCCUCUGGUCCGGGGACCCAGGGGUCAUGAAGGGACCAUGAGGAAGGGCAGUGCCCUAUCCCUGCCUUGGGAUUUCUGACUGAGAGGGCGCCCAGGUUCCUCAGCCAGUCUUCACUCCUGUCCCUCUCCACAGCCGCCCCGGGGGCUCCUAGAACCAUGGGCGUCUUCUCUUCCCCGCGUUGCAGCCUUCUCCUCUCCAGCCACCUUGUCAAGAAUCGGCCUUUUCAUUCUGUUUUAAUAGAAGCAAUGUGCCCAGCUGAAAGACGGCAUUUCUCAGCCUCUUUUGCAGAAGUCACAGCUGGAGUGCCAGCCGCCAUCUUGGCCCAUGGGGGUAAUCUAGCAGGUGGAAGGCAGCCCCAAGAGGAUCAAGAAGAAGGGCAGAAGGAGCCGUGAAGACUGAGGAUCUUAUGUGUAUCCACAAUAGCCCCCGAUCACCUACCUCCUACUUCUUUUCCAAAAGAGAAGAAUAAACCCCUAUCUUAAGCCCUAAGCCACUGUCAUUUGUGGGUUUUGUUUUAAGCUAUACAGCCUAAUUCUAAAUGAUUUACAUAAACCGAAUCCUAGGCCCAUUUCUCCAGAAAUCAAUUAACGUCAUCAACAUUGAUCAGUUGAAUAAAUUUUCUAAAUUAUUGGUUUGUGGCUGGGCGUGGUGGUGCACACCUUUAAUCCUAGGGACUUAGGAAACUGAGGCAGGAGGAGUGUGAGUUCAAAGCCGUCUUAAGUUAUCAGUUUGCUUAAAAUUUUCUUAUCCUAAUCACUUAUGGAGCUGAGACCAGUUCAUGUUUUGCUGGAAUCCUUUUAAAGUUAACUAUAUUUUGUGAUGUAGUUAUUUCUUUCUUUUUUUUUGUAUUGAAUGAAUUUCAAGAGAUUUUGUUAAUAAUAAAGUCAUUUUCUACUUUCAAAAAAAGGUGUGCUUGAUUUUGUCCACAAUGUUUACUAAAUCCAAGAAAAAUAAAAGUUUGGCAUCAGAGGUGGGGAAAUCGGAACAGGGAGUAGUUUACCCACAUUUCCUUCAUGUACCAAUACCCAGCACCUCUUUGUGUGCUGACGAGAGAUAGAUCCACACGCACACACAAGCAUCUGCCCCUGUGACAUCACACUCGAACUCAGGCAGACUCGAUUCCCCCAUCUGACACUUCAUCCAUGACAAAAGGCACUUAAGGGAAAGUCAUCCCAUUCACAUAUGAAAUACUGAGCUUUGGACGGUGCUCAGAAGUGACCAAAUCAUGAAAUACUCGUAAUACUGACACUCAGAAGAUGGGCCCUGACAAAGGGGCACACUAAAGAGAAAGAGAAAGAUCCUGUUGAAAGUGACAGCUGCAUUAAAUUUAGUACACCGUUUAUUUUUUCUUUAGGAAUAGCUUUUUCUAGAUAUUUCCUUUCUGCUAUUUUGAAGGUUCUGUACUGUACUGUGAACUCUCUAGUUUCUUCCUGCAAACGGCAGAUU